GAUGAACGCUGGCGGCGUGCCUAAUACAUGCAAGUCGAGCGAACAGACGAAGAGCUUGCUCCUCUGACGUUAGCGGCGGACGGGUGAGUAACACGUGGAUAACCUACCUAUAAGACUGGGAUAACUUCGGGAAACCGGAGCUAAUACCGGAUAACAUGUUGAACCGCAUGGUUCAACAGUGAAAGACGGUCUUGCUGUCACUUAUAGAUGGAUCCGCGCCGCAUUAGCUAGUUGGUAAGGUAACGGCUUACCAAGGCAACGAUGCGUAGCCGACCGGAGAGGGUGAUCGGGCACACGGGAAGUGGGACAAGGUCCAGACUCCUGCGGGAGGCAGCGGUAGGGAACUUGCCGCAAUGGGCGAAAGCCUUCCGCAGCAACGCCGCGUGAGUGAAGAAGGUCUUCGGAUCGUAAAACUCUGUUAGUAGGGAAGAACAAAUGUGUAAGUAACUAUGCACGUCUUGACGGUACCUAAUCAGAAAGCCACGGCUAACUACGUG
rnacentral:rRNA from 1 species